UACAGAGGUCUCAAGCGUUGUUCGGAUUCAUUGGGCGUAAAGGGUGCGUAGGCGGCGCGGUAAGUCGGGGUGUGAAAUCUUGGAGCUUAACUCCGAAACUGCAUUCGAUACUGCCGUGCUUGAGGACUGGAGAGGAGACUGGAAUUUACGGUGUAGCGGUGAAAUGCGUAGAUAUCGUAAGGAAGACCAGUGGCGAAGGCGGGUCUCUGGACAGUUCCUGACGCUGAGGCACGAAAGCUAGGGGAGCAAACAGG
rnacentral:rRNA from 1 species